AGUGAACGCUGGCGGUAGGCCUAACACAUGCAAGUCGAACGGCAGCACAGUAAGAGCUUGCUCUUACGGGUGGCGAGUGGCGGACGGGUGAGGAAUACAUCGGAAUCUACUUUUUCGUGGGGGAUAACGUAGGGAAACUUACGCUAAUACCGCAUACGACCUACGGGUGAAAGCAGGGGAUCUUCGGACCUUGCGCGAUUGAAUGAGCCGAUGUCGGAUUAGCUAGUUGGCGGGGUAAAGGCCCACCAAGGCGACGAUCCGUAGCUGGUCUGAGAGGAUGAUCAGCCACACUGGAACUGAGACACGGUCCAGACUCCUACGGGAGGCAGCAGUGGGGAAUAUUGGACAAUGGGCGCAAGCCUGGUCCAGCCAUACCGCGUGGGUGAAGAAGGCCUUCGGGUUGUAAAGCCCUUUUGUUGGGAAAGAAAUGCAGCAGGUUAAUACCCCGCUGUUCUGACGGUACCCAAAGAAUAAGCACCGGCUAACUUCGUG
rnacentral:rRNA from 1 species